rnacentral:rRNA from 1 species
GAUGAACGCUGGCGGCGUGCCUAAUACAUGCAAGUCGAGCGAACAGAUAAGGAGCUUGCUCCUUUGACGUUAGCGGCGGACGGGUGAGUAACACGUGGGUAACCUACCUAUAAGACUGGGAUAACUUCGGGAAACCGGAGCUAAUACCGGAUAACAUUUGGAACCGCAUGGUUCUAAAGUGAACGAUGGUUUUGCUAUCACUUAUAGAUGGACCCGCGCCGUAUUAGCUAGUUGGUAAGGUAACGGCUUACCAAGGCGACGAUACGUAGCCGACCUGAGAGGGUGAUCGGCCACACUGGAACUGAGACACGGUCCAGACUCCUACGGGAGGCAGCAGUAGGGAAUCUUCCGCAAUGGGCGAAAGCCUGACGGAGCAACGCCGCGUGAGUGAUGAAGGGUUUCGGCUCGUAAAACUCUGUUAUUAGGGAAGAACAAACGUGUAAGUAACUGUGCACGUCUUGACGGUACCUAAUCAGAAAGCCACGGCUAACUACGUGCCAGCCGCCGCGGUAACAC